UGGAUAUAGGACCUGAACAGAGGGACAAACAAAGGCCACAUGCAGGUUUUCCUGACACUUUGACCUCUUCCCCCAGCUGCUGUGACAGAGUCCUUGCUGUUUCACAGUGAAGCGCUCCCCACAGUUGUUACAUGUCUUUUGAGGAGUUGAAAGCUAGUUGGAUGACAACACUCCUGUGCUCUAAGGGAUGUCAUUCACAACAAAUACAGAAAACUUUGCUUGACAAAACAAUGUACUCUCGUUAGCUUGAGUGAAAAAUCCAGUGAGUGGACCUUGGGUUUAAGCAAAAGGCACCCAACAUUUUCGACAAGCUCAUUAUACAAAGUUUUUAAUCAUAGAUACAAUGUAAACUGAGAAAUAUGCCCUCAAUCGUUGCUUUUUUGUUCAAUAGUGUAUUUCAAAAAUAUUGAAAAUAUUGUCUUCUUCACUGCUGAUACCACAUCAGUUCACAAGUUAAUCCUAUUUUCCAUUUUCACCUCAGGAUAGUUGAACUUGAAUCCACUAAGGGCAACUGCCCACUUCUAACACUGAAGGCCAGUCUACAGUUUUCUGGCAGGGAAUCGACAAUACUCACUGAGAUCGGAUGUACUAUUACCCCAAACAGUGACUUUAAACAUCCUGCAGUGCUCUGGAGGUCAGGAUAUGAUGACAUAAGUGGUUAAAAGCACCGUUUUGCCAAUGAUUUUAGUAUCGAGUAUAUUAAAGACUAAGGCAAACUUUGAAGAACAUAAACAGCUGGGUCAUGAGCUGAUCAUGAGCCAGAUGUCUUUUACCAAAGGCCUGAGAUUAGAUAAUAACUUUGCAGGUCAGCCGUGGCAUG